rnacentral:lncRNA from 1 species
UUUUUAUUGAGAAGAAUGAUGGAAAUCUCUUCAAAUAUUUCUUUAUGGCCCUUGGACAAUGUGUUCGAGGAUUUCGAAAUGCAAUGCGACCCCUAAUCUUAGUCGACGGUACAACCCUUAAGGCGAGAUACGGGGGCAAGUUGAUUAUUACAACAUGCCAAGAUACGAACAUCCAAAUUUACCCUCUUGUGUUCGGCAUAGUCGACGGAGAAAAUGAUGUAGCAAUGAGUUGGUUUUUCAUGAAGUUGAGGAAAGUAAUUGGAGAUGUCGAAAAUCUUGCAUUCGUAACCGAUCGAGGGCAGUUAAUAAUAAAUGGUAUCGUCGAAAUCUUCCCCGAGGCACAUUAUGGUUAUUGUAUGUACCAUAUACAGGGAAACUUGAAGACCAGGUAUCGAGGCAAUGGUGUCGUUGCGUUGUUUAGGAGAGCUGUAGAGGCUUACAAUUUUGAAGAGUUUGAUAAGUUCAUGGUCGAAAUAGACAGUAAAUAGCAUGCUGCAUGGGAGUAUCUAACAGAGAUGGGGAUUGAACAUUGGGCACGAUCACAUUUUCCAGGACGUCGAUACAACAUGAUGACGUCGAACAAUGCGGAGUCCCUUAACGCUUUAUUCAAGAAAGAUCGAGAGUUACCAAUUCUCGCAAUGAUUGAGAACAUUCGUGACAAGCUACAACAGUGGUUUCAUGAUCGACGUGAGGAAUCACAGAGUUGUGCAAGUGUGCUAACCCCGGCUCAAGAAGAUAAGCUCUUCAAGACUCUAGAUGUGACAAGAAAGGUAUAUGUAGAACCACUGGAUCAAUUUCGCUUCUCCGUGAGAUGUGCACGUAAUUUCGGAUACAUUGUGGACUUGAAUGAUAACACGUGCACGUGUAGACAAUUUCAGUUGGAGAGUUUUCCGUGUACACAUACAGUGGCAGUGGCUAUGCAUAGAGGAUUACCAUCACACACCUUAUACAGUGUGUAUUACAUGACUGAUUAUUGGAGAGCAGCAUAUGCGGAAACAAUAUUUCCUGUACCAAAUGAAGUCGAGUGGGAAGUGCCCGACCACAUUCUCCCACUGAAUAAUUUGUUGUCACCAGCAGUUGGACCACGUACUCCUAGACGUACACGUACGUCUAGAAUACCAUCUACCGGAGAGUUUCUCCAGCCUCGUAAGUGCCGUAGGUGUGGUGCAACAGGG